CAAGUAGUAAUACGAGGAUGUUUUAGCGGCGGACGGGUGAGUAACGCGUGAGCAACCUGUCCCAAACAGGGGGAUAACGAACCGAAAGGUUCACUAAUACCGCAUAAGACCACAGAGUCACAUGGCUCAGGGGUCAAAGGAGCAAUCCGGUUUGGGGUGGGCUCGCGUCUGAUUAGCUAGUUGGUGGGGUAACGGCCUACCAAGGCGACGAUCAGUAGCCGACCUGAGAGGGUGAUCGGCCACGUUGGAACUGAGACACGGUCCAAACUCCUACGGGAGGCAGCAGUGGGGAAUAUUGGGCAAUGGGCGAAAGCCUGACCCUGCAACGCCGCGUGAAGGAAGAAGGUUUUCGGAUCGUAAACUUCUAUCCUUGGUGAAGAUAAUGACGGUAGCCAAGAAGGAGGCCCCGGCUAACUACGUGCCAGCAGCCGCGGUAAUACGUAGGGGGCAAGCGUUGUCCGGAAUGAUUGGGCGUAAAGGGCGCGUAGGCGGCCCGGUAAGUCUGGAGUGAAAGUCCUGCUUUUAAGGUGGGAAUUGCUUUGGAUACUGCUGGGCUUGAGUGCAGGAGAGGUAAGUGGAAUUCCCGGUGUAGCGGUGAAAUGCGUAGAGAUCGGGAGGAACACCAGUGGCG
rnacentral:rRNA from 1 species